GAGACCUCUGGUCAGGCGG
rnacentral:rRNA from 1 species